GGAACACCGUUGACCUUCGUGAAACGACCACCAAUCAGCGCAUCGCCAUCGGGCUGAAGGAACAGGGCGUCCACGGGAUUGUUAGCGCCGGGGGUCAGGUCAAAGGAAGGGUCGCGGGUUCCGUCAAUGUUCAGACGGAUGAGACCGACAUCCCCGCAGAUGAGCAUCUUUCCAUCCGGCCGCAGCGCGAUGGCGGCAACGCUGGCUCCGGGGCUGAUGUACGCGGGAUUUGGGAAUGUCGCGUCCACGGUGCCGUCGGGUUCGAGCCGGGCGACUUUGUGACGGGCCAUGCCGUUGACUGAGGUAAAAUCGCCGGCCACCAGGAUCCUGCCAUCGGGCUGCACGGCGAUGGAUCCGACGUUGUUGCUGGCGCCGGUCAUCCCGCCGGCCUGAAAUCCGGCGUCGAGCGUUCCAUCAGGCAUAAGCCGUGCGAUGCGCGUGCGGGCGGUGCCGCCGGCGCUGAGGAAAUUUCCGCCGGCCAGCACCUUGCCGUCCGGCUGGACGGCGAGGCAGAAGACCAGACCGAUCGCCGGAUUGCCAAAGGUCGCAUCGACACUGCCGUUAGGAUUGAGGCGGACCACAUUGGCACGAGGGAAGCCGUUGACCUGCCCGAAGUCUCCACCAAGGAGAAUCUUUCCGUCCCCCUGGAUCACGAUGGCGUAAACUGCCGUGAGGCUGCCGCCGGUAACUCCCGCCAUGUUAUUCUGAAAACCAACGUCGAGUGUGCCGUCAGGGUUGAGCCGCGCGAUGCGGUUGCGCGAGACGCCUUGGACAUUCUGAAACCAGCCCCCGACGAUGAUCUUGUCAUUGGCCUGCACGGCGAGGCAUUGGACCUUGCCAUCAAAGCCGGCGAGCCCGGCCAUGAACGUCGGAUCGUGGCUCCCAUCGCCGUUCAACCGGGCGAGCCGGUUGCGUACCAUUCCCGCAACUGACGUAAAGUCUCCGCCGAUCAGCGAUUUGCCAUCGGAUUGCUGCGCGAUGGCCAGAACGGGAUAGUUGCCCGCGCUGAUCGAGGUACCCGCGUUGAAAUUCGGGUCCACAUCACCGGAGACAGGGGUGAUGCCCGGCUCCACGACUCCCGCCGGCGAAAUCGCCGCCGAAGCGAACAGGACGAGGCACACGAUGGUUCGAAUUUGUUUGGCGUUCAUACCUUGCCGGGUUGGUUGAAUUCGCGGAUUCCCUGGCAGCGGUUUCCCGCCGCGCGGAAACGAUGCCUGGGGACAUCGCCUGACUCUGAUGAAAGAGAGUUCCGCA
rnacentral:misc_RNA from 1 species